ensembl:lncRNA
CACACAUUUCAGUAGCAUAUGAAGCGGUUUGGAAGCAUUGUGCAAGAGUUAAGUCCCUCACCCCAAAUGCAGUGACGCAGAGAGCUACAAGAUGAGGUGCAUCUUCAUCUUCCCCUUCUGGCACAACCUAAAGCCAAACUGGCAGAGAAGAAAACCACCAAAAAGUACAGCCAGCAUGUGGGUAGGGUUGGAUUCGCAGCCUCUGGCCUGUGACUUUGCGUGACUACUUUGCGCGACUACUUUGUGUGACUCCUCAAAGCACAGGCAGUUGAGAGUCUGAUGACACUCAAGGCCACGCGCUGUGAUGUCCAAAAUUAACUCAGCUGCUAACUGUGCUACUGCCUCCGCGGUUUGAUUGCACCCUGCCUUCCUUGAGAACGCCCCCAAGGGAUAAAGAGGAUGUUGCUCAUAUGUGCAUUUCUGAGUUUUUUUUUUUUUCUUAGUGGACAGAAAUUUUCCAUUGUGUGGGGAUUUUUUGGUCUCAUCUGAAAUCUGGUUUCCACGUAGCCUGGCGCUAUUAGUCCAGUCAUUUUACCUGACCUCUUUCUUUACUUUGGGCACAAGACAAGGCCGAGCUCAUUCUUUCGUGACAGCCACUCUGCCACCUAAGCAGAACUAACCGUCAAAAGAGCAGGCGAAUUGUAAUUCUUAAAAAAUCCAUAAGCCAGCAGUUCCUUUUAACCACAGUGACUUUCCCGGCUGGCUCGUUGUGCUGAGGCAGCGGCGCGGCUGCACAGCAGAGCGAGGCUUGGCCCCGCCUCCCUUGGCAGGAGGGCGCUGUGGCGCGUGCAAGCUCUGCUGUCCUGCCCUUCCUGUGGGACCCAGUAUGGCGUUCUAGUGAUUGUUAGCAUGCGGACUGAAUAAACGCUCGGCUUCACUGAUGUUCCCAGCCUUACAUUUGCUAAACUGUGUCAACCAGAUGGCAGCAAGGACAUCUGUGGCAGUACAGAAAUCAAGAGAUGAGAAAAGGAAAUAAAGAAUCGUGGAGAGAACUGAUUUCAUGAACCAACGUGCCACUACCCAUAGAUGUGGAAGAGGUGUUGGAGCCCCAUCCAGAGGAGCUUUGUGAGAGCCGCCAGCACCCGACUGGGGAGGCCAGGAAGCCACGGCCGGCACUCAGAGCGAGGGAGCUCAGGCCCAGCUCAGCAAGGAGGCUCGACUAGAAGCCAGGCCCUUACCCAGGCCACUCCGUGGGACCCUCUGGAAGUGUUUCUCAUAACAAGAAGAGGGAUUAAUGAACUCCAGUCCUCACAGAAGCCCCACGGAAAGAGGCCGUCACCCCCACUCUACCCUGGGGAACAGGGGUCACAAAACUGCUAAGGAGCCAGUCAGAGCUGGUAACGGGAUGGAGAGCCCAGGACUCAAACCAGUCACAGGUCCUGUGCUGUUCCUCGGUCAUCUUCCUGAUAGAAAAGAGGAAAGUGCCUCCGAAGGGAGCCCCACCGUGCAGAGUAUGAGGGAGUGGGAUAAGGAUUAAAAGAAGACAGCACCAUAGAGCAAGAUGAGAGAGGUUUCCAAAGGCUGCGUCUAGGACGAGCCAGGGGACCUUGAUAGCUGAGACGUUAACUCUGCAGAGAGAGGGAGAGAAGAUGAACCAGAGGACGCCUAGAACCGGUGAGCACCACGCAGGGUCCUUCAGAGACGGCGGAGUCCCGUGCUGAGAGCUCCCUCCAAGGCUGGGAUAGCUUGGGCACUUCUCUUUGCUCACGGAGAAAUCCCAAAGGCAUUUGGUUUUCUUUGAGGCCUCUACUCCCCAUUUCUUGGUGGCCAUUAUUAGUUCAAUCAAAAGGUGGCAGCCUUCGGGGCGAAUGAGCCCCCUCUUCUGAGCCAGGGAGCCCGCUUCGAAGGUGUAGCAGGCUCCGGUUUCAAGUCCCUGAUCAGGGCCAGCUGUAGCCGACCCACCCCGUCGACUCGUUGGGGACCUAGACCUGCUACUUCCUUCUCCCUGACCUGGGGGUGAAUGAGGAGGAUGAAUGGCAAACAGACACAGAGUCAGUUUAAUUUUCAGGCAGCCAGAGGAGGCCCUAGUGUCUGACUCAUCUUGCCUCUAUUUACCCGAAUGGGUGCAAGCAAUCAGAGAAACACAGGAUCCACCUGCUUUCCGGGAUUCAUUACUACAAACUCUGGUAAACAACUUAACCUCCGGCGUCCUAACUUUUCCCUGGAUCCCGCACUAUGCGGUCACCCCUGAGAGCAGCCUUCCUCCUUUGUGCUCACAGAGGGGCCAGCUAGGCCUCAGUUCUCCUCUGCUCUCUGGCACUCAGGUGCAAGAGGGUAACCUUGCUUCUAUCCCAAAGCCAAGCCUGAGCCACCAUGGGUGGAGGCAGGAGACAUCCAAGGUCACAUAGAUGUAAAGCUUGACUUGGGGCCCAGCUGCUGUGGCCAGAGGCUGUCCUUCCACCAAUGAUGUCGCUAACCUGAGGAGCUGGAGCCAGCAGCGCUUGAUGCCCUGCCAUCCCGCUACUGCCAGCAACAGGACUCUGCUCCUCUGACCUUUGGCCCAGGCGCCUCCCGUUGCAUCUCCUCCCAACACUUCCCAUGGUGCCCGCUGGAGUCCCCUGUCCACUGUCGAAUCCCCAACCUGUUCUUUGACUUUUGACAUUAAAACAAAAGAAAGAGAUGGAAAGAAAUGUCAGCAAUUUUCUGUUUCCCCUGUUGUUUUAGGCUGA